UAUCCGAAAAUCUGAUAUUUCCCUCAAGAUACACUUUCUUCUCUCCUCCCCAAAAUAUGUCACAGUUUCUCUCUCUUGCUCUUUGAAAACUGGCGCGAUUUUUCUUCGACAUCCUUCGUUCUUCAAAUUCCAGCAAUUCGUCCCAAGAUUAGCAGUAUUUCAAUUAACUUGAAUCUGCAAUCAUCGAGCUCAAAAAUUGAAGGUGGUUAGCUGAACUGCUCUGCAUCGUUGCUCUUAAGGUGUCAGCCGUGUUGUGUGUACGUUGUUGCUGCAGGGGGAUGAGGGUUGCUCUUAAGGGUUCAGGUUAUUUCUCUCAUUUCCAAAGAAAAUGUUAAACAGAGUCUUGCCAGGACAAGAUAAGCAUCAGCAUUACCAGAACCCCAGCAAGUCCCAAUGACGAACCUCCAACCCUAAACACUGACGACGAGUCCCACAAAACAUUUGACAGGCAUAUAGACUUCAUGUGCAAGAAGAGAGCCACGGAGAAAUCAGUUCUACAACUUUUAUUUUAAUUUUUUUCUUAAAUAUAAAGUCGAAACCUAUUAGCUCAAAUGGUAGAGCAAUGUGCCAUUGCACAUGGGUGUAGGUUCAAAUCCUACACAGGUUGAUGAUUACUACGUAUAAAAGUCUUAUUGUAUUCUUCUAUUAUUUGAAAAAGUAGAUCAAAAUUUGAUAAAAGUAAGUGAAUUUGUCUAAGAAGUAAAUUCAUUAAGCUAAUUAUGAAUUUGUAUAAUAUUUUUCCAUAAAUGGAAUAUUUGACAUCUUAUUACA